rnacentral:lncRNA from 1 species
GACCAUUUUGUAUAUGAAGAACAGAGUGACAGGAAGAAGAAAGAGCACCAGGCUGAGCACCAUUCGACCUCUACUAAUACACGUCUGACCCUGUUCAAGCCCCUUCGCAUCUCUGGCUCAGGUUCCCCUAUUAAGUGGGAAUCACAGCAGUAACUCAACAAGACAGGGGAUUCCAAAAUCUAAAUUACAUCUCAACAACAUGCGAUUGUACCCAGGCAUUUCCCCCUGGGAGCACCAAAGGGAAGAAGGUAAUUUUUCGGUCUUUUGGAAGCUGUGCCCUGAUGCCAAGAUGCCUCAAGCCAAAACCACACAGAGCAGCCUGCCUGACAGACGGGCCCAGUAGGCUUUAUCAAGUUUUUAGGCUCUUAUGAGCUUCCCUACUUGCGAAUCAAACAUAAAUUUAUCCUUUGUGGCUCUUUCAUAAA